GUCGGUACUUGAAGAAGCGGAGCCAGGGCUGAGAUCCCGAAGGCGGGCGAGGCCUUGGGGAUGAAGGUGAGAAAUUCGAGAAUCCCCGGAGAUAACACAUCAGCAAAUAGUGCGCAGGCAGAACAAGCUGUUGGAGGUGAGAGACACAGAGCAGAGAAGCACCCGCACCUGGAGAGUCAGGAGGGCCUCACAUCAGAACGCCUGAGCAAAUACAGUUUUGAAGGAUACUAAUUUUUUAAAAAGUUCAUUCACAUGAGUUAGACAAAGAGAAAGAAGCAGGACAUUCUAGGAAGAAGGAACGGCCCAGGCAAAAGCGACGCGUACAUUGGCGUGGGUCCAUUCAAGAAUUGUGCCCACAAUAUACCAGGCACUUGUCCAGACCUGCAUCGUCCAAUGCCCACCUCGACCUCCCAAAGUGUUGGGAUUAGAGGCGUGAGCCACCGCGCCCUGCCUGCAUGUGGCUAUUGAGAUGUGCUGUAUGAUACACACCGGACUUUGAAGACUCAGUGUGAAAAAUAAAAAGAAUUUUAAGAGGGGUGGGGGUCGAGGGGAGGCAGAGCAGUAGGACAAAUAGCUAAUGCACGCAGGGCUUAAAACCUAGACAACAGGUUGAUGGGUGCAGCAAACCACCAUGACACAUGUUUAUCUAUAUAGCACCUACAUGUUCUGCACUUGUAUCCUGGAACUUAAAAUUAGAAAAAAAAAAUAAUAAAAGCCAACAUGGCAUUCAUUACUGCCAAAAAAAUUAAAACACAUUGUUAAUUUUGUAUAUUGAUUACAGGUUGAACUGAUAAUAUUUUGAAUAUAUUGGGUUAAAGAAAUACAUUUAAAAUUAGUGGCUAGGCACAGUGGCUCAUGCCUGUAACCCCAGCACUUUGGGAGGCUGAGGCGGGUGGAUCACCUGAGGUCUGGAGUUCGAGAUGAGCCUGGCCAACAUGGUGAAACCCCAUUUCUACUAAAAAUACAAAAAUCAGCCGGGUGUGGUGGUGAGUGCCUGUAAUCCCAACUACUUGGGAGGCUGAGGCAGGAGAAUCGUUUGAACCCGGGAGGUGUAGGUUACAGUGAGCCGAGAUUGUCCCACUGCACUCCAGCCUGGGUGACAGAGUGAGACUCCAUCUUAAUAAUAAUAAUAAAACUAUUUCUUGCUGUUUUACUUUUCUAAUGUGACCACCAGAAAAGUUUAGAUGGCUUGUGUGACUCUCAUCAUUGAACGGAGCUGUUCUAAACAUGGGUAAGACAACGCAGAGCUUCGGUUGCAGGACAGAGAAUGAAAUAAUAGACCCAUAAGACAGAUAAGUGACUGAUUGUGACUGCUAGGGUGUUUACAGCAUAGGCCGGUGACAGGAACGAGGAGUGUGGGGAUGAGAGCCGACGUGGGCGAGAGUGCAUGCAAUGCAGGGUCAGACGUUGGAUUCAUCUCUCAGGAGUUGAAAAAGGUGGCGUUCCUG
rnacentral:lncRNA from 10 species